rnacentral:lncRNA from 1 species
UUUAGGUUCCUUCAACUCCUCUGAUUAGCUCUUAUUGUGCAUGCCAGCGGGUCGCUGGUUCUAAUCAGGUGGUCUUUGGUCAGCUCUGCGUCUGAGACUAAUCGAGCUGUGUUUUAACCCCUCCCUAUCGGCACUUCAAUGUCUGCACCACCAAACUGGCGUGUUUGUGAGUCAUUAUCAGACGGGUGAGGGCAGAAGAACAGAAGGCACACAGACAUCAGAGCACCAGGAGGAACAGCAUGUGACCCAGUCCUCACAGUCAGGCAGUGAAAGGCGAAUCUUGGAAUCACGAGGGGAGGAAAAACGAGUGUAAGUCCUGAUGAACUGAACUGCUCAAGCUGAACAAAUGGAAACACUCAGAGCCCUGGGAAGUGAGGUGUCUAGAGACGACUAAAAUAGGUGCACCUGGAGUCCAAAUUUCACUUGGUGCUACAAUGAAUAAAAC